GACGAACGCUGGCGGCGUGCCUAAUACAUGCAAGUAGAACGCUGAAGGAGGAGCUUGCUUCUCUGGAUGAGUUGCGAACGGGUGAGUAACGCGUAGGUAACCUGCCUGGUAGCGGGGGAUAACUAUUGGAAACGAUAGCUAAUACCGCAUAAGAGUAGAUGUUGCAUGACAUUUGCUUAAAAGUUGCAAUUGCAUCACUACCAGAUGGACCUGCGUUGUUUUAGCUAGUUGGUGGGGUAACGGCUCACCAAGGCGACGAUACAUAGCCGACCUGGGAGGGUGAUCGGCCACACUGGGAAUGAGAAAAGGCCCAGAAUCCUACGGGAGGCAGCAGUAGGGAAUCUUGGGCAAUGGACGGAAGACUGAACGAGAAACGCCGCGUGAGUGAAGAAGGUUUUCGGAUCGUAAAGCUCUGUUGUAAGAGAAGAAAGAGUGUGAGAGUGGAAAGUUCACACUGUGACGGUAUCUUACCAGAAAGGGACGGCUAACUACGUG
rnacentral:rRNA from 1 species